UCGUCACACUAUCAUUAACUGAAUCCAUAGGUUAAUGAGGCGAACCGGGGGAACUGAAACAUCUAAGUACCCCGAGGAAAAGAAAUCAACCGAGAUUCCCCCAGUAGCGGCGAGCGAACGGGGAGGAGCCCAGAGCCUGAAUCAGCAUGUGUGUUAGUGGAAGCGUCUGGAAAGGCGCGCGAUACAGGGUGACAGCCCCGUACACAAAAGCGCAUGUGCUGUGAGCUCGAUGAGUAGGGCGGGACACGUGGUAUCCUGUCUGAAUAUGGGGGGACCAUCCUCCAAGGCUAAAUACUCCUGACUGACCGAUAGUGAACCAGUACCGUGAGGGAAAGGCGAAAAGAACCCCGGCGAGGGGAGUGAAAAAGAACCUGAAACCGUGUACGUACAAGCAGUGGGAGCACAGGUUUACCUGUGUGACUGCGUACCUUUUGUAUAAUGGGUCAGCGACUUAUAUUCUGUAGCAAGGUUAACCGUAUAGGGGAGCCGGAGGGAAACCGAG
rnacentral:rRNA from 1 species